AUUGAAACACUGGUUCCUGUACAAUCACUGAAGUUAAGCAACAUUGAGCCUGGCUAGUACCUAGAUGAGAGACUGCUUGUGAAUACUGGGUGCU